rnacentral:lncRNA from 1 species
AAUUCCAAAACAGAGGUCCCUAUGUAGUUUGGAGGAACAUAGGAGUUUCUGAACCUACAUAGCAGCAAGAGUUUAUUGUGCUUCAGGUUAGUCCACCGACAAUUUUGAUGGCCUUGUUGGUCAGGCUAUGCAUAUUGAGGACAAAUGUGAUCUGGCUUAUUAAUGUGAUCAUGCAAUCAACUGCAUUUUGGAGCUUAGUAUCGAUUUGUUGGUGCUAGUAAGUACAUAGCUUGUCUUAGAUUUGGUUUCUUGUGUAAUGCUUAGAUGGGAUUAUCUUUGUAUUUAACCAGUAUGAUAAGAAUGGCAGACACCUUGUUUCUUGAACAGGCCAUUCAUCCGGCUGCUUAAAUCAGUGUGCGAGGGAUCUAGAUGAUGUGGCAAUCAUGUGCUAAAGUAGGCGAUGAGAUCACUAUGCAAUGUUCGUUGUAGGGUCUUAGAUUCAGUUCAAUGGACAGUUGAACCAUCCCACCUUUACUUUGUUGAAGACUCUGAGUGAGUGAGUGACUGCUCCUCUCGUCAGCUGGUAGAAAAUGUUUUUCGUUGAUUGAGAAUUAACCAAUAAGGAGAUAAAUUUGGUUUACUAGAUUAAAAGUUCUCAUAUUUUAUCCCAUGUUUUAGUGUCAUCUGCAUGCUGACUUUGAUGGUUGCUUAAAAUAGUUGUUUGUAAUUGCUCUUGCCCUUUUUAUGGCAUGCAACAUUUUCAUUAUCAUCUUGCAUUAUCUCUACUUGCAACAUGGCCAACUGCUUGAAGAAACCCUGAAUAUUAAAUCUUGAAACUAUGCUGGUGGUCUGAACUGAAAUUGCUCUUUCUUAUCAACAUUUGUUUCUAAGUAUAUAGUCACUAGUGUAAAGGUAGUGCAUGUUCAUACAGUGAGGGAAUGGUGGCUCUAGUCUAGAUUUCAAUAUGGCUUACACGCACAUGAACUGCUUCCCAGCUGAGGUUCUUCAGUAUGCUCUAUGCAGCAUACCUUGACAUUUUUACAAAGAGAUUGUUUCCGCGCCUAAAACAGUCUUGUUAGGCUAAAACAACCUAAAAUACUCUUAAUAAGGUGUGAUAUUGUUCACUUUGGGCAAAGCUUCAUAAUUUUCCCUAAAAGGCUUCACACCAUUAAGAGUAUUCAACUCCUUAUAAGUAGCUUAUUUUUCUUUUCUAAUUUUCAUGUGGGACUUCGUUCACACACCCAACAAUAAGCUAGUAGUCUUGUCAUAGCAAUAGCAUCUCCAAGUUCUUUGAAUGUGAGAGCUGUGGCCGCGGCAUGCACUUCUCUUAGACAUUCCAACUUGCCCAAAUCAUCAGGCAAUUCUUUCAGUUUUGAGCAACCGUCGAGGAUCAGGAUUUCAAGUGAUUUUAAAUCACAGAUUCUAUCUGGAAGUUUCCAUAUGUUACAACAAGAUGUCAAAUUGAGACUACAAAGUCUCUCCAAAUCUCCAAUUGUUGAGUCUAACCCCAUCAAAUUUAGACAACCACUAAAGGAUAAUUCCUCAAGAAGAUGUAAACCAGCAAACUUGGGAGAUAUCUUGAGGUUCUCACAAUAGCUGAAUAUCAAUUUCUUUAAACACUUGAAAUACUGUAUCCAAAAAAAAAAUGAACAAAAAAGAAUGGACAUAAGUUUUUUUGUUUUGUUUUUAAGCUUCCAAAGAAUAAUAAAUUUUGAAAUUAUGUCAGAAGUAAUGUCAAACCUUCAAAGGUGCUCGGAAUUCUUCGAAAUUACUAUAAGCCAUGUCGAGAAGAACAAUACUCUCCAGAUAAAAAUCAGAUGGUAUGUAUUUCAUUGGACAAUAGUGCCAAAACAAACAUUUUAAUGACUUCGGUAGAUAAUGAAAACUUCC